rnacentral:rRNA from 1 species
AGAGCGAACGCUGGCGGCAGGCCUAACACAUGCAAGUCGAGCGCCCGUAGCAAUACGGGAGCGGCAGACGGGAUAGUAACACGUGGGAACGCGCCCUUCGGUUCGGAAUAACUCAGGGAAACUUGAGCUAAUACCGGAUACGCCCUUACGGGGAAAGAUUUAUUGCCGAAGGAACGGCCCGCGUCCGAUUAGCUAGUUGGUGAGGUAAUGGCUCACCAAGGCGACGAUCGGUAGCUGGUCUGAGAGGAUGACCAGCAUCACUGGGACUGAGACACGGCCCAGACUCCUACGGGAGGCAGCAGUGGGGAAUAUUGGACAAUGGGCGCAAGCCUGAUCCAGCCAUGCCGCGUGGAUGAUGAAGGCCUUAGGGUUGUAAAGUCCUUUUAACGGGGAAGAUAAUGACGGUACCGUAGAAUAAGCCCGGCUAACUUCGCGCCAGCAGCCGC